ACGACUUUCAACAAUGGAUAUCUUGGCUCUUGCAACGAUGAAGAACACAACGAAAUGCAAUACGUAGUGUGAAUUGAAGAAUUCUAUGAAUCAUCGAGUCUUUGAACGCAAGUUGUGCCCACGGCUCGUCCAAGGGCAUGCCUUCCUGACUAUCCCU
rnacentral:rRNA from 1 species